AUUGAACGCUGGCGGAAUGCUUUACACAUGCAAGUCGAACGGCAGCACGGACUUUGGUCUGGUGGCGAGUGGCGAACGGGUGAGUAAUGUAUCGGAACGUGCCCAGUCGUGGGGGAUAACGUAGUGAAAAUUACGCUAAUACCGCAUACGAUCUAUGGAUGAAAGCGGGGGAUCGCAAGACCUCGCGCGAUUGGAGCGGCCGAUAUCAGAUUAGGUAGUUGGUGGGGUAAAGGUCCACCAAGCCAACGAUCUGUAGCUGGUCUGAGAGGACGACCAGCCACACUGGAACUGAGACACGGUCCAGACUCCUACGGGAGGCAGCAGUGGGGAAUUUUGGACAAUGGGCGAGAGCCUGAUCCAGCCAUUCCGCGUGCAGGAUGAAGGCCCUCGGGUUGUAAACUGCUUUUGUACAGAACGAAAAGGUUUCUACUAAUACUAGGAGCUCAUGACGGUACUGUAAGAAUAAGCACCGGCUAACUACGUGCCAGCCGCCGCAGUAA
rnacentral:rRNA from 1 species